rnacentral:rRNA from 1 species
UUUCAAGGCAUUGUAGAUGGAACAGCGAGGAAGCUACGAACUUUGCGUGCAGCUACUAUGGAUACAUCCGGGAGGCUAGAGUUGGUGCAGUCCAUCCUAUGCGCGAUGCCCAUUUACACCAUGAUGGUGUUGGAUGUUCCACCUGACAUGCUGGCAAGCAUUACGAAGAUAUGCAGAGGGUUUCUGUGGGUCGCACGGGUGGAGGUGCGGGGCGGACACUGCGUUGCCGCAUGGAAUUCAGUGUGUAUGCCCAAGUGGGUGGGACGGUUGGGCCUCCCAGACCUCAAGUGGAUGAACAUCACCCUAAGGGGGCAAAAUUUUGUGUUUUGA